rnacentral:rRNA from 1 species
CCUACGGGGGGCAGCAGUGGGGAAUAUUGCACAAUGGGGGGAACCCUGAUGCAGCAAUGCCGCGUGAAGGAUGAAGGUUUUCGGAUUGUAAACUUCUUUUGUACGGGACGAAGAAAGUGACGGUACCGUAAGAAUAAGCCACGGCUAACUACGUGCCAGCAGCCGCGGUAAUACGUAGGUGGCAAGCGUUAUCCGGAUUUACUGGGUGUAAAGGGCGAGUAGGCGGGAUUGCAAGUCAGAUGUGAAAACUAUGGGCUCAACCGAUAGAGUGCAUUUGAAACUGCAGUUCUUGAGUGAUGGAGAGGCAGGCGGAAUUCCCGGUGUAGCGGUGGAAUGCGUAGAUAUCGGGAGGAACACCAGUGGCGAAGGCGGCCUGCUGGACAUUAACUGACGCUGAGGCGCGAAAGCGUGGGGAGCAAACAGGAUUAGAUACCCCUG